GUGCUUAACACAUGCAAGUCGAACGGAAAGGCCCUUCGGGGUACUCGAGUGGCGAACGGGUGAGUAACACGUGGGUGAUCUGCCCUGCACUUUGGGAUAAGCCUGGGAAACUGGGUCUAAUACCGAAUACACCCUUUUGGUCGCAUGGCCGUUAGGGGAAAGCUUUUGCGGUGUGGGAUGGGCCCGCGGCCUAUCAGCUUGUUGGUGGGGUGAUGGCCUACCAAGGCGACGACGGGUAGCCGGCCUGAGAGGGUGACCGGCCACACUGGGACUGAGAUACGGCCCAGACUCCUACGGGAGGCAGCAGUGGGGAAUAUUGCACAAUGGGCGCAAGCCUGAUGCAGCGACGCCGCGUGAGGGAUGACGGCCUUCGGGUUGUAAACCUCUUUCGCUCACGACGAAGGGUGACUGACGGUAGUGAGAGAAGAAGGACCGGCCAACUACGUGCCAGCAGCCGCGGUAAUACGUAGGGUCCGAGCGUUGUCCGGAAUUACUGGGCGUAAAGAGCUCGUAGGUGGUUUGUCGCGUCGUCCGUGAAAUC
rnacentral:rRNA from 1 species